rnacentral:tRNA from 1 species
GGGGACUUAGCUCAGUGGUAGAGCGCUUGCCUAGCAAGCACAAGGCCCUGGGUUCGGUCCCCAGCUCCCA